UAUGUGUCUGUAUACAUUAUGUGUAUGUGGAUAUGUGUGCAUGAAUUCAGUGCCCGCGGAGUCAGAGGGCACCGGAUGUCCUGGAGCUGGAGUUACAGGCGGCUGCGAGUCACCUGAUGUGGCAUUGGAAACUGAGCUGCAAACUGAAGAGAUCCGACUGCCUCUACCCUCCUAGCGCCGGGAUUAAAGGCAUGCUCCACCACCGCGCAGUUAAAACCCUCCGUUUUCUUUCAUGGCUAGAUAUAGUUCAACAGAUUUUUUUUGUUUGUUUUUAAUGGUGUCCAAAACCACAAGAUAAAACCUACAUUCUGGUCCCUAAAGAACCACCACCCAGUGGGAAUGAUUGCAUAAUGGCGGAGUUCCAGAAUUUUCAGAACUAGAAUUACAACAGCGCUAAGGUGAGGGCGGAAAUUUUCACAUAAAACACGAAGAAGUUAAAACUGUCUUUGAUUCUGGAGAAGGGAGGGAUACUGGAGGAUACUUAGGUGCCGGAGGAGACGAGACGUCUUUCCAAGGAUCUGGGUGUUCUUGGGUACACCUUUGCAAGGCCCCUACCUCACCCUGACCCUCACGGGGCACCAGCUACCCCUACCCCAGCUCAGCCUCUAUUGUGAAGGCCUGCUUCCUGGGAGGGCGCAGAGGAAGCUGGAUCGCAUGCUGGGCUCUGCUGUGUGGAGUUUCCCGUGUUUGUUUUCCAUUCGUGUUCAGGAGAGUUCUAGCAAAUUCUCACCGCUCCCCACCGUGUUCAGGAGAAAAAGGAAGCCCUGGUGUUUUUCCACACUUGGGCCAGCGCAUGAAGAGCCUAGAGGCCUGGCUGCAGCUAGUCAACACAGAGUGACCUAGCUCUCAGGUGACUGUUUUAUAUUGAUGAAGGUUGGAAUGGAGACUAGAGUGUGAAAGGACAAAAUCCCAUUCUUCAACACAGCAUGUGUGGUGAGGAAGACAAAAAGAAGCUGGUGGAACAACUGUGGUGUAUUCCCUCACAUGUGGGAGCUAAACCGAGGUAAUCUAUGAGGAAAGUGAUUGCUUAGAGGCUACACAGAAGUUGGAUAAAGGGAAGCAAACACAGAGAUUUCAGAAUACAAUGAUGUGACAUUAGAUUACAGUAGAAAUUAGAUGUUUUGUUGGGCACGGUGUUUUCCCAGGUGUGGUGGUAUAUGAGUUUGCUCCCAGGACUAGGGAGGCAGAGAUAGAGCUCAGUUCAAAGCCAGCCUGAUCUACAGAGUAAGUUUAAGGACAGCCAGGGCUGCACAGAGAAACUCUGUCUUGGUAAAGAAGAGGAAAGGAAA